UUCUCAUUUUUCUACUGCUCGUGGUAAGUGGCUUCGUGGUCUUUAUAGCUGUUACUCUUUUGUACUUUGUCUUUUUCUUUUAUUUUCUUUUGAGCGAUUGUGCGAACAUAGCAUAGCACGCACUAUGCCUUCUGUGUUGUAGCUGCCUGGCCAGGGCGACUGGCGGAUAAGGUCUUGUGCGUGGCCUCGAGGCUUAAAAGUAGCAGUGGGGCUUUGUGAAGGACAAAAUGGCGAUGGCGGGCCGUGUAGGUCCCCCUUCCUAUGAUGAGGACCUUUUCACAGACCUGUACUGAGCUCCGAUUUACGCGCACGUUGGAACCGAAGAGAGCUCUGUUGUUGCAAUGUUCAGCCCACAAGAGCUUACUGGUGAAGGAAUGGGACAAGACCCAUCUUUAUGCAAAGCCAGCGUUACAGUAAUGUUCCAGCAUCUCAUAAUCUAUCCUGGGGAAUUCAGCUGCCUCCCAGGGUGAAUACAGGUAUUCCUGAUGACAGUCUGCCUCUAUCUUACAGAGCAGCUUGUUGCUAUAUACCAUUGAAAAGCCUUCAGAGCUGAGAGGUACUACUAACCAAUAACCUGCUUGGCUCAAAGGGCCAGCACCUUCUCUCUAAAGCCCAAGAGGAGUUUGAGGAAAACUAGGUGUCUGUGUUCACUCCAGGCUGAAGUUACAGGUCUGAGCAAAUAAGGUGUAUAAAAAAUGGAAUCUGUCUUGGAGGACAUCAGAAGGUGAAUUUUCCAAGUUCUUGGACAACCUAGCUGUUGAAAAGCUUUCUGGGUUUGGGGGGUAUUUCAGAUGUACCUUAAAGUGUUAGCAGACACAGAUUAAGACACUGGGAGCCAAUGAAACAGCAGUUGAGGGUUUGCUGUGUAUCACAUUUCUGUAUUUUAUCACCCCCUUCCUGCAACAUUAUUUAUCUGGAAUCUACCUGCCCUUUUGUUUUUUAGAUACAAGGGCUUGGUUUUGUUACCCAGGCUGGUUUCAAGGCCAUAGCUUUAAGAGAUCCUCUCACCACAGAUUUCCAAAGUGCUGGGAUUGCAGGUGUGAUUCAUGGCACCCAGACUUUGCUGCCUUUCUUACAUGAUCCAGGCCCAGAACCCAAACUCAGGCACUGUAUAGAUGACCACUUUCGUAAACUACUGACCUAGCUUGUUGCCAAUUGUUGAUUGAACUUCCCAUAACUCCACUUCGUGUCUGUUCCUCUGUAUACAGCCACCUUCUGUUCCCGUCAUGAGCCUUUAGGUCUCCAUUUGCAUAUUGCAAAUACUAUGUUCCAUGUAGGUAGCUCAUUCAGGGCCUUGCUCUUCACUUCAAAAAAGGUUCCCUUGAGGACUGGCUGUCAAUUUGUGUUGCUGUGUUGGUUGUUGAUGAAAAUAAUAAAAUGAUUGAUUA
rnacentral:lncRNA from 1 species